rnacentral:rRNA from 1 species
GAGUUUGAUCUUGGCUCAGAUUGAACGCUGGCGGCAUGCCUAACACAUGCAAGUCGAACGGCAGCACUGGGAGCUUGCUCCCUGGUGGCGAGUGGCGGACGGGUGAGUAACGCGUAGGAAUCUGCCUCAUAGCGGGGGACAACUCGGGAAACUCGAGCUAAUACCGCAUACUACUCGAGAGAGGAAAGCAGGGGACCGUUCGGGCCGUUGCACUAUGAGAUGAGCCUGCGUUGGAUUAGCUAGUUGGUAGGGUAAA